rnacentral:rRNA from 1 species
UGCUUCGUAGUGACCUGCGGAGGAUCAUUACAAGUGAGGCUACCGAACGUUGGAAACAGCGGUUAGGAGCUUACACCCACCCGUGUUUACAUACUAUUGUUGCUUUGGCGGGCCGUGGCCUCCACUGCGGGCUCUGCUCGUGUGUGCCCGCCAGAGGACCAAACUCUGAAUGUUAGUGAUGUCUGAGUACUAUCUAAUAGUUAAAACUUUCAACAACGGAUCUCUUGGUUCUGGCAUCGAUGAAGAACGCAGCGAAAUGCGAUAAGUAAUGUGAAUUGCAGAAUUCAGUGAAUCAUCGAAUCUUUGAACGCACAUUGCGCCCUGUGGUAUUCCGCAGGGCAUGCCUGUUCGAGCGUCAUUUAACCACUCACGCCUAGCGUGGUAUUGGGGCACGCGGUCUCGCGGCCCUCAAAAUUAGUGGCGGCGCCGGUGGGCUCUAAGCGUAGUACAUACUCCCGCUAUAGAGUUCCCCCGGUGGCUCGCCAGAACCCCCAAUUUUUUACAGGUUGACCUCGGAUCAGGUAGGGAUACCCGCUGAACUUAAGCAUAUCAAAAAGGCG